rnacentral:rRNA from 1 species
AUUGAACGCUGGCGGCAUGCUUUACACAUGCAAGUCGAACGGUAACAGGCCUUCGGGUGCUGACGAGUGGCGAACGGGUGAGUAAUGCAUCGGAACGUGCCCAGAGGUGGGGGAUAACGCAGCGAAAGCUGUGCUAAUACCGCAUGUGAUCUGAGGAUGAAAGCGGGGGACCAGGCAGCAAUGUUUGGCCUCGCGCCUUUGGAGCGGCCGAUGUCAGAUUAGGUAGUUGGUGGGGUAAAGGCCUGCCAAGCCGACGAUCUGUAGCUGGUCUGAGAGGACGACCAGCCACACUGGGACUGAGACACGGCCCAGACUCCUACGGGAGGCAGCAGUGGGGAAUUUUGGACAAUGGGCGCAAGCCUGAUCCAGCAAUGCCGCGUGCGGGAAGAAGGCCUUCGGGUUGUAAACCGCUUUUGUACGGAACGAAAAGGCUCUGGCUAAUACCUGGGGCUGAUGACGGUACCGUAAGAAUAAGCACCGGCUAACUACGUG